rnacentral:rRNA from 1 species
AGUGAACGCUGGCGGUAGGCCUAACACAUGCAAGUCGAACGGCAGCACAGUAAGAGCUUGCUCUUACGGGUGGCGAGUGGCGGACGGGUGAGGAAUACAUCGGAAUCUACUUUUUCGUGGGGGAUAACGUAGGGAAACUUACGCUAAUACCGCAUACAACCUACGGGUGAAAGCAGGGGAUCUUCGGACCUUGCGCGAUUGAAUGAGCCGAUGUCGGAUUAGCUAGUUGGCGGGGUAAAGGCCCACCAAGGCGACGAUCCGUAGCUGGUCUGAGAGGAUGAUCAGCCACACUGGAACUGAGACACGGUCCAGACUCCUACGGGAGGCAGCAGUGGGGAAUAUUGGACAAUGGGCGCAAGCCUGAUCCAGCCAUACCGCGUGGGUGAAGAAGGCCUUCGGGUUGUAAAGCCCUUUUGUUGGGAAAGAAAAGCAGCAGGUUAAUACCCCGCUGUUCUGACGGUACCCAAAGAAUGAGCACCGGCUAACUUCGUG